GGUUGUAUAGUCUAGUGGUUAGGACGUCUGAUUUUGAUUCAGUGGUUCGCAACCCACACUCAUUCAGGACACCUGGGUUCGAACCCCAGUACGACCU
rnacentral:tRNA from 1 species